rnacentral:sRNA from 1 species
UCGCGAAUGAAUCUACUACCGGAUCGGA